ACAAGUCUUUCUAUCGAUGGGAAAAGGAGACUCUAGGCCAUCCGAAAAAGCGUGGAAUCGUUUUCGCAGUUUUUCAGUUCUGGUGUUUGCAGGAUUUAAUGCAGACAUUUUGGCAAAUAAAUAAAAUGCGUUUAUUCUAAUAGGGGAAUACUUACGGACUGAAUUCUGCUCAUAUUACGUGUACAUUUUUUUAAAAAAAGUAAAUAACUUCGAAAUUUUGAUAGCAAGAACUAGUUCCGAAGUAGUUUGAAAAUCACGAUUUGGUUUUUCAUAUAGACCUAAAAAAUCUUUCAAGACGCCAUGGAAGUAAAAACGUACGAGAGGAAUUUCCUUCUAGAAUUGCGACAUAAUCCUUUAUCACUAAAGAUGCCACUUCUGCCAUAUAUAUCAUUUAUUCAAAGAAAGGAAAAAUACAAGAAAAUUAUUUGGCUGCUGAAAGAGAAGUCACUGCUUAAGUAAUUCAUUCUAUCUUAUAUACAGCAGGCUUUUGUAUUUUUGCACUGUUUAAAAAAUAAAGAUCUUAAACUACACUGAA